GUCAAUUCCUUUCGGAAAAGCAUUUGAUAUGAGAUACCUUGCUGACUUGCUAGAUUACUUGCUGCAUAUUUCCUCAAAAAAAAUUGAUUUGCAAGAUAAUUUGUAAAUUUGGACAGGUAUGUUUUAUCCUUGAUCAUAUACAGGAUAUCUUCAUUUGAGUACCGACGCUGGAAUUUGGUCUCUUGAACUGUGUAAUUGGUCAUAGGGAAGUUGAGGGGGGCAUCACUUCUCUGAAGUUUGAUGGCUGCUCUGUCAUAAGCCAUUGCUGCCUCUUCCUCGAUGUCAUAUGUUCCAAGCCAGUAAGCCUUGUACUUAAACGCGAUCCAUG
rnacentral:misc_RNA from 1 species